GCAAAUUGGGGACAAACAAAAUAUAAACUUCAAUGGAUCUCCCCAAAGAAAGUAGUUGGUUAACACUAAAAAGCUAGAAAGUCACUUUUAAGCAACUUAGUUUGUAUUUCAUUAAAGAUAGGCAACAGGUAAAAGCAAACAAAAAUUGAUGAUCACUGGUGCAGAAGAAGAAACAAAGAAUUAUUCCAUUAGAAUGCACACAUGCACCAGAUACCAUAAAUAGUUAAACAGUACAAGGAACGCUACUCCAAGGUUUUGUAAUAUGACAAAUUGUUUGUUUUGAGUGUGACUUUUACUUGGGGUAGAUGUAGACAACUGAUAAAAGCAUGCCAUUCUUCAGCUGUUAAAGUUGUGAUGGUCAUGAAGCAUAGGAGAAGAAUAACAGAGUGCCAAGCAUCACGCAAAG
rnacentral:misc_RNA from 1 species